GUAGGUGAACCUGCGGAGGGAUCAUUAACAUAUGAAACGAGUGGAGAGCAGAGGCAGGAGAGAGAGAGCGAAAGAGGCAGCAAUGUCGCUUCUCGCUGUCUCCCUUCUUCUCUGCUUUUCAUGACUUCACACCUGCGAACUUCUCCCCCACCCACCCACACCGAAGCUAUGACCUUGUGUCAUGUUUCGACCCAUUCUUUCACCCCUUUCUUUUUUCUCUUCUCACACUGAUCGUGGUUGUCCUUGUGACUUCUGCUCUCAUGUCUUCUAAUCUAUAUAUCACUCCUAGCAAUGGAUAUCUUGGUUCUC
rnacentral:misc_RNA from 1 species